GGCCUUCCCUCGCCGUUUUGGCCGCCGGAUCUGCUCCGACCAGCCAAGGGCAGAAACCCACGAAAUGGGUUUCCAGCUGGUUCGGGCCCGUUUUGGGCCGUUUCCCAGCCCCGGAUCCGCGAGUCGCUUUGGGAACAAUCGUUCCUCGCGUCGCCGCCGUCGGAUUGAUCCGAUUUGCGCGCGAUUUGGUGAGUAAUCUCACUAAUCCAGGAUUAGUUGGCUAAUUAUGCUUAAGGUUGGUUUAGUUUUAAUUAAUUAUGUUUAGGUUGUUAGAUUAGAAUAAAUUAGCAAUUAUUAGUCAAUUGUGAUGCGAUUUAAAUAAAUUGAUUGUGCAAUUAACAAGUAGACGUGGUCUACUAAUUAUUGGAAGCAUCUCGGGAAUUUUCCGACCCUUUGUGGGCUCCAAUUUGGCGAUUCGGGCCUAAGUGGAAUUUUUAGUAUUUAAUUAUUAAUUUUCGGAAUUAAAUUAAAUAAUUAUUUAUUUUCCGAAAAUUCAACUGAGAUGGCUCGGGACCGGAAAAUUAUGCUGAUGACCGUGGUGAAGUCUAUUUAUUUAAUCAGGCUUUAUUUUGAGCUAAAUUGAAUUUUUAAUAUUUAUUAAUUAAUUAUUUUUCGGAAAUUAAGAUUUUGAUGGCCGACGACCGAAAUCUCGUGCUGAUCGUCGUGGUGCAGUCCAUUUAUUUAUUUGAGCUCUACGUUGUAUGGAAUUGAAUAAAUUGUGAUAUUUUGGGGAGUUACCAUAAAUUGAUUGGAAUUGAUUGAGAUUGAAUUAUUGAUUGGUAAAUGACCAAGUAUGUUUAUUCAGCAUUUGUAAUGCUUUGUUGAGUUGUAAAGUGAGUAGAAUUGUGAGAGUGAUUUGAAUAUACUCUUGGCUGAGAUCCAUCGGGUACGUUAAUAUCGGGUGAUAAUUGAGUGAGUUGAUGAGUAUGCGGGGAUUUAUCCCAAAAUUGAUCGGUGUUGUUAUUCAAUUAGAAUUUGACUAUGAGAGGUUGAGUUGAACCUCGGAAGCUGCCGAAGUAUGGCUAUGCUAGCUGGGCCGAGAUUUGCCACCGAAUUUGGAGUCGGUCGCGCCUGAUAAGGCCGUAAUCUGCCACCUAUUAAAGGUCGCGCCUGAUAAGGCCGUAAUCUGCCACCUAUUAAAGGUCGCGCCUGAUAAGGCCGUAAUCUGCCACCUGAUAUGGGUCGCGCCGUAAUUUGUGUGUGGCGAUAAGUGAUCAUGCCUGUGUGUGGCGAUAGUUGAUCAUGCCUGUGUGGCGUAGAUUGUGCCUACGUGGCCGUAUUUCUGUGUAUCGAUUAUCGAAAGUGGUCGAGUGGGACCGUAAAGCCAUUGAGUAUCGAAAGUGGUCGAGUGGGACCGUAAAGCCAAUAAAUAUUGAAUGCUGUCGAGUGGGACUGUGUCUUCCACCUUUGCUUAAGAUGUGAUAUGAGGAUCGUAGUUCGUAAUUAAUGAUUGAGAUGGAAUAAUCGAAUUGACCCAGAAUGGUCCGUCUGACAUGUAAUCGACGAGGUUGAUUGAUUAUUGUUUUGAUUUGAUGUUGUGAAUUGAUUGACUGAAUGGAAAUGACCGUGAGUGGUCUUGUUGGCUAGUAAUCGACUAGGUCGAUUUGAUCGAUGCUUCGAUCGGUGAUAUGAUUGCUUGAGUGUCUAUUGUAAAUUGUACUGACUUGCAGGUGGGAUCUGAUGCUAAGGUACGUCUUCUGCCCUGUGCGUGUUUAGGCAGCCUGUAGUAUAAUAGUUUACUAAUCGGGCUUAGUGGGGUAGAACUCGCUGAGACGUAGUCUCAUCCCAGUUUGGGGAAAACCAUUUCAGGACCUCGCUGAAGAGCUGAGAAGGAGGAAUCCGAGAAGGAGGACUCGGAGGGGAAUCUUAAGGAGAAAGAUUUUUGGAGGAUGAAGGCAAUCCUGAGAGGGGCCUUGAGUACGGCCCGGAUGGCUGAGAGUUUAUCUUCUUUUGAGAUCUCCUUUUUGAUGUGAAUAGUUAUGAAGUGAUUUAUGGUUU
rnacentral:lncRNA from 1 species